rnacentral:tRNA from 1 species
GACCAAUGUUUACUUGAUUAAACCUUUAAAGCCUGUUAUUAGAAUAUCAGAUUUCGGCUCUGAGGGUUGGGGGUUCGAAUCCCUUCGCGGUCA